rnacentral:rRNA from 1 species
GAUGAACGCUGGCGGCGUGCUUAACACAUGCAAGUCGAACGAAGCACUUUAAUGGAUUUCCUUCGGGAAUGAAGGAGAAGUGACUUAGUGGCGGACGGGUGAGUAACGCGUGGGUAACCUGCCUUAUACAGGGGGAUAACAGUUGGAAACGACUGCUAACACCGCAUAAGCGCACAGUGUCGCAUGACACAGUGUGAAAAUAUUAAUAGGUAUAAGAUGGACCCGCGUCUGAUUAGCUAGUUGGUGAGGUAAUGGCCCACCAAGGCGACGAUCAGUAGCCGGCUUGAGAGAGUGAACGGCCACAUUGGGACUGAGACACGGCCCAAACUCCUACGGGAGGCAGCAGUGGGGAAUAUUGCACAAUGGGGGAAACCCUGAUGCAGCGACGCCGCGUGAGUGAAGAAGUAUUUCGGUAUGUAAAGCUCUAUCAGCAGGGACGAUAAUGACGGUACCUGACUAAGAAGCCCCGGCUAACUACGUGCCAGCCGCCGCGGUAACAC